GUGCUGUUUUGCUCCACUGCCACAAUUAAAAUCCCCUAGACAGAGGCAGUACAAAGGUGCUCUUUGCUCUCUUGUUCCUCAAAGCAUGGACAUCAAGAACUGGAUCCCAGCCCACUGACAUCAAUGGGAGCCCUUCCAUUCACCUCAUGAAGUCUGUGCCAGGUCAAGGAAGAACACAGAUGAGAGAAGGCAAUUUGGCUGUCACAUUUUCCUUUCAUCAAGAGCUUUACACAGAAAAAAACUCUUUUUAAUGUAACUUCUGCUGCUGAGUUGGAGAUUUUUGUCCCUGUGAAGUGAAUUUCCACUAAUAACUACAGAGGUUUUCAGGAUGGGUCUGAGAAUGGAGCAAAGAACUAGAGUUACAUGGGACAUCUGAGGAGCCAAAACAUGGUUCUAAGGGCAUGACUCUGGAGCUAUCAGCUUUCUAAGGAGGAAAUGUACUGAGUGACAGAGCCAUCUGAAGUGUUCAGGUUGUUUGCAAUAUGGAUGCUGGAGAAUAAGCAAAAUCACCCAUGAAAGGAGCCAUGAAGUUUGUGGUGGAAGCCAGAAUUAGAGCCAAUUCCAGAGAUGAGCAAUAUUCCCACCUUGGUUCACAGCUCUCGUGCUACAAGCAUGGUCUACAAAAGCAAAGGUUGGUCUCUCCAAUGCCAGCAGAUGAAAGGACAUUCAGUUCUGCUCUGAGCAGCAUUUUCAUUUCCUCUGGGUCUUGUGGAGCUCCUGCCGUUGACCAACUCACUCUGCAGCCAUGCCUCCUCAUCUUUCGGCAUCUCAGACACCCACAGAAUAUUUGGAAGAAGGCUGAAAAUGAGAGACAAAUUCCAAUACUGAGGACACCAAGCAGUGCAGCACUUUGAGGAUUGGACUACCUCAUCAUCUAGAACAUUCCCUGGAUCUCCCUGGGUGGCAGAGAUGCUGGCGGUGAAGAGGAAGAGAAGAAAGACCUUAGCAGAUCCCUUAAACUCUCCAUGAGACUGGUCUUAAUUUUGCUGAAUGCUUAAAAGGCAAAGAUGUGAUUGAACACAGGAGGAAACAUCACAGAUUCUUUGUGUGCACUUCCACAAGAAAGUGGAUACAUAUAUAGGAAAGCUAAAUCUGUUCAAGAGAAGACUCUUAUGAGAGAAACAGAACCUGCAAUGAGGGAUGGAGGUUUCUGGGGAACUGAGUGGUACCAGUGAGCUGCAUUUA